rnacentral:misc_RNA from 1 species
CCUAGAGUUGUAGGCUUUGCCUGCUAUCUCUUACCCAUGUCUUUUGAGUACCUUCGUUUCCUCGGCGGGUCCGCCCGCCGAUUGGACAAUUUGAACCAUUUGCAGUUGCAAUCAGCGUCUGAAAAAACUUAAUAGUUA